rnacentral:pre_miRNA from 1 species
ACCCUGUAGAUCCGAAUUUGUCUGGAUCGUGGUUACAAAUUCGGUUCUAGAGAGGUU